rnacentral:rRNA from 1 species
GACGAACGCUGGCGGCGUGCUUAAUACAUGCAAGUAGAACGCUGAAGACUUUAGCUUGCUAAAGUUGGAAGAGUUGCGAACGGGUGAGUAACGCGUAGGUAACCUGCCUACUAGCGGGGGAUAACUAUUGGAAACGAUAGCUAAUACCGCAUAACAGCAUUUAACCCAUGUUAGAUGCUUGAAAGGAGCAAUUGCUUCACUAGUAGAUGGACCUGCGUUGUAUUAGCUAGUUGGUGAGGUAACGGCUCACCAAGGCGACGAUACAUAGCCGACCUGAGAGGGUGAUCGGCCACACUGGGACUGAGACACGGCCCAGACUCCUACGGGAGGCAGCAGUAGGGAAUCUUCGGCAAUGGGGGCAACCCUGACCGAGCAACGCCGCGUGAGUGAAGAAGGUUUUCGGAUCGUAAAGCUCUGUUGUAAGAGAAGAACGUGUGUGAGAGUGGAAAGUUCACACAGUGACGGUAACUAC